rnacentral:rRNA from 1 species
AGUGAACGCUGGCGGCGUGCUUAACACAUGCAAGUCGAACGAGAACGGAUUAUAGCUUGCUAUAAUUGUCAGCUAAGUGGCGCACGGGUGAGUAAUGUAUAGGUAAUAUGCCUCUUACUAAGGGAUAACAAAUGGAAACGUUUGCUAAUACCUUAUACUCCUUAUUAACAGAAGUUAAUAAGGGAAAGAUUUAUUGGUAAGAGAUUAGCCUGUAUUGUAUCAGUUAGUUGGUGGGGUAAUGGCUUACCAAGACUAUGACACAUAACUGGUUUGAGAGGAUGAUCAGUCACACUGGAACUGAGACACGGUCCAGACUCCUACGGGAGGCAGGCAGUGGGGAAUAUUGGCACAAUGGACGAAAGUCUGAUGCAGCAACGCCGCGUGGAGGAUGACACAUUUCGGUGCGUAAACUCCUUUUAUAUGAGAAGAUAAUGACGGUAUUAUAUGAAUAAGCACCGGCUAACUCCGUGCCAGCAGCCGAC